rnacentral:lncRNA from 1 species
UCAGAACCUCCCCUCCCCCGCCGGGGCCUGGGCGCGCCUGCCCUUCGCUCCCCGACCUCCUGCUGCAGCUCUGGGCCCCUCGGCCGCUCCCUCCCCUCCUCCCUUGCUCACCCCACGGUUGGCCGCGGAUCUCCAGCACGCCGCCCCAGUCCUCGGCGUCCCGCAGCGCCUGCCAGGGUCGCCGAGCCUCCCCUGCCUCCUGGCCGCCUCUGCAGUGCCGUCCUCCCGGGGCUGGCUCUCUCCCCAGGCCCCCGCUUUGGCCACCCAGGCACUUUCCGCCCUGAGCGUGGCAGCUGCUGCCGGGGGUCCUGGGACCGCGGGAUGGGAACUCCCACGCAGCGUCCCACAGGCUCCUGGCCGCCGCGAGCCCGCGCGACUCGCACGAGCAUGUCCACCCGCAGCGAGGGGCCGGUCACUGCUACGGAGCCCGCCAGAAGGCAAAGCCCCAGACAGCAAAUAGGGAGGCGGCUGGCACCCAGGGAGGCCGAGGCGGGAGGAUCGCUGGAGCCCAGGAGUUCGAGACCUGCCUUGGCAACAUAGUAAGACGCCCCCCCACCCCCCGCCCACCAUCUCUACAAUAAAUUUAAGAAUUAGCCUGGCA